rnacentral:rRNA from 1 species
UACAGAGGUCUCAAGCGUUGUUCGGAUUCAUUGGGCGUAAAGGGUGCGUAGGCGGCGCGGUAAGUCGGGUGUGAAAUCUCGGGGCUUAACUCCGAAACUGCAUUCGAUACUGCCGUGCUAGAGGACUGGAGAGGAGACUGGAAUUUACGGUGUAGCGGUGAAAUGCGUAGAUAUCGUAAGGAAGACCAGUGGCGAAGGCGGGUCUCUGGGACGGUACUGACGCUGAGACGCGAAAGCGUGGGGAGCGAACAGG